rnacentral:rRNA from 1 species
GCUUCACAUGAUUGUUAUUUUUUAUAGAUUUAUAAGUUUAAUUUUAUAAAAUAAGAUUAUGUUUUGUUGGGGUGACAUGAGUAUAAUUUUUUUAACUGCUUAGUAUUAAAAACAUAAGUUUAUGAAUUUAUGAUCCUUUAUAAAGAUUACCAGAAUAAGUU